rnacentral:rRNA from 1 species
UACGGAGGGUGCAAGCGUUAUCCGGCUUCACUGGGUUUAAAGGGUGCGUAGGCGGGUCAGUAAGUCCGUGGUGAAAUCUCUGAGCUUAACUCAGAAACUGCCGUGGAUACUAUUUGCCUUGAAUAUUGUGGAGGUGAGCGGAAUAUGUCAUGUAGCGGUGAAAUGCUUAGAUAUGACAUAGAACACCAAUUGCGAAGGCAGCUCACUACACAAUCAUUGACGCUGAGGCACGAAAGCGUGGGGAUCAAACAGG